rnacentral:lncRNA from 1 species
UUUUUGUCAUCCUUUUUUCCUUUUUUUUUAUAAUAACUGAAAGAAUUUUUUAUUCCGUAGUGACCAGUCUUAGUUUCCCGUUUUAUAUAUUCUUUUCAUUAAAUGAUACUAUUAGAUUAGUCAUAUAAAAUCAAAUAAAUCAACUAAUUUCCUUUUCUAUAUCGAUGACAUUUAUUAAGAGAAUUGAUUCAUCUUUUUUUCCUCUUCAUGUUUUUUGCUAGAACACUGAUUUGUAACAGAAUUCCAACAAAUUCGACCGUACUCUCUUUUUCUAUUGUCAAUAUAUCUCUUACGUUUUACUGUUGGGUUCUAAUACUAUCUCAUAUGCUAUUUUCUACCAAUUAUUUUUGUUGUCUGUAUUUUUAAACUAAAAACAUACAUGAGGUUUAUUGUUGGGUUCUAAUACUAUCUCUUCCACUCUCUCCUAC